CAGUGAGGAAGGCGGGUACGUUAAUAGCGUGCUUGUUUGACGUUAGCUGCAGAAGAAGCACCGGCUAACUCCGUGCCAGCAGCCGCGGUAAUACGGAGGGUGCGAGCGUUAAUCGGAAUUACUGGGCGUAAAGCGCAUGCAGGCGGCCUGUUAAGUCAGAUGUGAAAGCCCGGGGCUUAACCUCGGAAUUGCAUUUGAAACUGGCAGGCUAGAGUCUUGUAGAGGGGGUAGAAUUUCAGGUGUAGCGGUGAAAUGCGUAGAGAUCUGAAGGAAUACCAGUGGCGAAGGCGGCCCCCUGGACAAAGACUGACGCUCAGAUGCGAAAGCGUGGGGAGCAAACAGGAUUAGAUACCCUGGUAG
rnacentral:rRNA from 1 species